GUAUAUCUGCUGCAGACUCCCCUAGCAUUCUCAGUGCUUGCUUGGUGGCAAUGGAGCCGCAAGGCUCUUUUGUUAUUAUGCCAGAUUCUGUGUCAACUGGUUCUGUAUUUGGAAGAAGCACGACUCUAAAUAUGCAGACAUCUCAGCUAAAUACCCCACAGGAUACAUCAUGUACUCAUAUACUUGUGUUUCCUACUUCUGCUUCUGUGCAAGUAGCUUCAGCUACUUAUACCACUGAAAAUUUGGAUUUAGCUUUCAAUCCCAACAAUGGUACGUAAUUUGUUCCAUUUUGGUAGUCUGAAGAAUACCCCCCAAAAUAAAUUCAUGUCCAAUACCUGAAA
rnacentral:lncRNA from 10 species